GAUGAACGCUGGCGGCGUGCCUAAUACAUGCAAGUCGAGCGAACAGACGAGGAGCUUGCUCCUCUGACGUUAGCGGCGGACGGGUGAGUAACACGUGGAUAACCUACCUAUAAGACUGGGAUAACUUCGGGAAACCGGAGCUAAAACCGGAUAAUAUAUUGAACCGCAUGGUUAAAUAGUGAAAGACGGUUUUGCUGUCACUUAUAGAUGGAUCCGCGCCGCAUUAGCUAGUUGGUAAGGUAACGGCUUACCAAGGCGACGAUGCGUAGCCGACCUGAGAGGAUGAUCGGCCACACUGGAACUGAGACACGGUCCAGACUCCUACGGGAGGCAGCAGUAGGGAAUCUUCCGCAAUGGGCGAAAGCCUGACGGAGCAACGCCGCGUGAGUGAUGAAGGUCUUCGGAUCGUAAAACUCUGUUAUUAGGGAAGAACAAAUGUGUAAGUAACUAUGCACGUCUUGACGGUACCUAAUCAGAAAGCCACGGCUAACUACGUG
rnacentral:rRNA from 1 species